UGUGUAUGUGUGUGUUGUGUGUGUGUGUUUGUGUGUGUGUGUAUAUGUAUGUACACACACACACACACACACAUAUAUAUAUAUAGGCG
rnacentral:pre_miRNA from 1 species